UAGGCGUGCUAGCGAUCCAUACAUAGGCUACUGCAGCUGUGGCACAUAUGACUUUUUGUUGUGAAUCGGUCCGGCAACUAUAGUUGCUCGGUUGAAGUUACCUGCGGCGGUGGGAUUGGCUACUUCCGAGUGGCGCGUGCGGGUGAACAUGUAGACAGUAUUCUAUUUGGCCUUUAGACCUAUUUGUCCUUAUAUUAUGACCGAAUUAGACUAUUGGAAAUAGAAAGUCCAUAGACAUUUCAGUUCAGUAUAUUUGGCUAGGCGGUGUAGCUUUUUAAUUCGCUCUGUUGUGGUAGUAGGCUAAGAUAACGUCAGCUGUAGCGAGCAAUUUCGCUUGAGGAUCUCAAAGAAACCGUCUGGCUGCAGUUCUCUACAGCGGCUACCGGUUGUCGGCAGGCUAUUUGCUGCUGAUGCGAAGCGGCUAGUGAGGCUGGAGAGAGAGUCAAGCAAGAGAGCUGUGCUGGGUGUCUGCCCCCUUUGUAGUGGGAUCAGGAUCAGGACUAUGGUUCAUGUUCCUCAUAGAGACAUGUAGCACCUCACUGCCUCAGUAUCUGGACACCUGGACACCUCCAGACACCUGAACACCUCCGAACACCUGAACACCUCUGAACACCUGCCUAGCCUGCUAUCUAUUUAUGUUAUUUAGAUACUGGACACUACUGCUUGCUGCUCAGCUAUAGAGGAUGAUGAUGA